rnacentral:sRNA from 1 species
AUGUAGCACUCGCACUCCGGUUCUGAGCGCGCCUUCUUCACCCACCUGACGAAUGCGCAAUAGUUUUGUUAGCC